AGCUGAUGUAAACAUGGCUACUUCCUUGAUCAGAACGUGUACAAAAUUUAGUUUACUGAGGCAGCCACUCUGUGAUAUUGUUAAAAGCGAUAAUGUACAGAAGUAUAACUUUCAUAGUAUAUUUCUCAUAUGUACACAAUGUCGGCAUUAUCAUACAACACAAUGUUUCAAGAACAAAUCAAAGAAGAAUAUUUUUGUUCAACUCAAACCGAAAAAACGUUUGCCAGUCGUGGAUGUAUGGAAACAAAUGACGGUAUCAGAACUGGCAGCAUCUGCAGGAAGGGAUAUAAAUAAUGUCAUGGAUGCAAUUUCUCUCUUUGAUUCAUUUAAACGUUACGAUAGAAAUACUAUUAUAGAGGAUCCGAAUAUAUUGUAUAAUGUUGUGCGGACACUUGGGGCAAAGUUUAAAAUGAUAUCUAGAUCAGAUAACAAAAUAGAAAAGAAUACACAGGAUUGCAAUGUUGUUAAAAGACCUUUACCAGAUAAAUCUGUACUAAUAAAACGUCGUCCAGUAGUAACAAUUAUGGGCCAUGUUGAUCAUGGCAAAACUACAUUGCUAGAUACAUUACGUAACACAUCAGUUGUAAAAAUGGAAUUUGGUGGUAUCACUCAACAUAUUGGAGCUUUCAAUGUAACAUUGGAAACGGGAGAAAUGAUUACAUUUUUGGAUACUCCUGGGCAUGCCGCUUUUAAUAUUAUGCGAAUGAGAGGCGCACAAGUAACUGAUAUUAUAGUAAUAGUGGUUGCAGCAGAUGAUGGAGUGAUGGAACAAACCAUAGAAAGUAUAAAUAUGGCAAAAGCAGCGAAUGUUCCGAUUAUCGUGGCUAUCAACAAAAUUGAUAAACCAGAAGCCGAUAUUAUAAGAACGCAAAAGUUGCUUGCGGAACAAGAGAUUCAAGUUGAGGCAAUGGGCGGGGACAUUCAGAGCGUUAAUAUAUCAGCUUUACACGGAACUAAUUUAGAUACUUUGAUAGAGACUAUAGCAUUACAAGCCGAACUCGUGGGAUUAAAGGGUGAUCCAACGGGAUUAGUUGAAGCUGUCGUAAUUGAAUGUUUUACCGAUCCGCACCGUGGCAAAUUAGCGACAGCUUUGAUUCAGCGUGGUACCCUGAGAAAGGGUGCAUACCUUGUGAGCGGGUUAACGUGGGCUAAAGUAAGAGCUAUGUUCGACCAUUCCGGAAAUCCAGUUACGGAAGCCAAAUUAUCCGAUGCAGUGCAGAUUAUCGGAUGGAAGGAUUUACCUACUGCCGGAGAUGAAAUAUUAGAAGUUGAGAAUGAGAAGAAAGCACGCACAGUAAUGCGAUACAGACAAGCGGAGAAAGCUACACAAUUGGCGCAAGAACAUAAAAUUGCAGCGGACAAAAAGCGAGAAGAAUAUCUGAAAGAAUAUAAGGAACGACAGAUAAAGAGAAGAGCAAUCGGCAGAUAUAAAAAGCUAUCAGCAAUUGUUAGAAAUGAAAGAUCUGAUGAUGAUGAUGAGAAACCUAAACUUAACGUUAUCAUAAAAGGUGAUGUCGCUGGCUCUGUAGAAGCUAUAUUAGACGUUUUUAACACCUACAGGAGUGAUGACAAAUGCGAAUUAAAUGUCAUUCAUUAUGGCGUUGGACCUGUUGCAGAGACAGAUUUACAAAUGGCAGACAUGUUUAAUGCCAUCAUAUAUCCUUUUAACGUUGGCGUAAUGAAAAACUUGCAACAGGAAGCUAAUGAAAAAAAGAUAUCGAUCCGUCCAUACAAUGUGAUAUAUAAGCUCAUUGACGAUGUUAAAAAGGAGAUAAAUUUGAGACUUCCACGGGUUGACGCCGAAGAAGUGAUAGGUGAAGCAAAUGUAUUGCAAGAGUUCGAAAUCACAGAUAAAAAAAACAAAGUAAAAGUUGCGGGUUGUCGGUGCAUUAAAGGCAAACUCAAGAAAAAUGCAACGUACCGAUUGAUGCGUGAACAGGAAGUUCUCUUUACCGGAAAAUUGAUGUCGAUGAGAUAUAUGAAAAAUGAAACAGAAAUAAUCAAGACUGAUGUAGAAUGCGGUUUGAGAUUCGAAGAUCCGACAGUAUCUUUCAAAACUGGGGAUAUUUUAAUUUGUUAUCAAACGUAUCAGAAAUCACAAGAAACUGACUGGGAUCCUGGAUUCUAAACAAUUUCAAAGAUUGCAAGAUUAAAUGAAGCAAAAUAAUCUCUUCAUUCGAGUUAGUUAUUAGGUAAUUGGGCACUCGACAUAUUUCAACAUUGUGACAAGAUCAUCAAUUAUUCAACUCGUUUCAAUUGGUGCUUCAAAUUAUUUGGUCACGGCGGUAAAUUGCGACAACGCAUGAUAUUGACCACAUUUGCGAGGGACGGAAAAAUCGGCAAGACCGAAACCGGCGCCUGAUCAAUCAAAGGAAGCCUCGCGAUCGCUAAUCGUUUUGCAAACGCAUC